CGCUUGUGCCCGAACUGCGCCGAGUUCCCUCUGAGCAUGCGCACUGCGGGCUGCCCCCAGUGAGGCGCGGCGGGCAGGGGGCUCGUCAGCCUUGAGGAGGGGCCAUAGUGUGUGGAACCCGCCCAACCCACCCCCCUGAGCCGGCAUCGACCUGAUGAGAGGGCCAAACACGAGGUGAAUUAGAAUGUCAAUAGUCACAGUCCAGCUUGGGCAGUGUGGUAACCAAAUAGGUCAGGAGGUGUUUAACACCAUCUGUGGUGAUGUCCGUGGCACGCAUGGAUUGUGUUCCAAGAAGGAGAACGAAGCCUACCACCAUGCCUGUACAGAACGGUUUUUCAGCGAGGCAGAGUCUGGAGUACCUGUUGCCCGGGCUGUGCUUGUUGACAUGGAACCUAAAGUAAUCAGCCAAACUUUAUCAAUAGCUGCCCGGUCUGGCCACUGGAAAUACGAUGAUCAGUCACACUUCUGUCAGAAACAAGGGUCCGGGAACAACUGGGCAAAUGGUUACUCUGUUCAUGGGCCUAGAAACAAAGAAGUAAUCAUGAAUCUGGUACAAAAAGAAGUAGAGAAAUGUGAUCGACUCAGUGGAUUUUUCACAAUAAUGAGCAUGGCUGGUGGUACAGGUUCUGGCCUAGGAGCAUUUGUGACUCAGUGUUUAAGAGAUGCUUUUCCAACCUCGUUUAUACUAAACCACGUUAUCUGGCCCUAUGGCACUGGUGAGGUCAUUGUUCAAAACUACAACUCUGUUUUGACUCUGUCACAUCUGUAUCAGUCAUCAGAUGCUCUUCUUGUUCAUGAAAAUGAUGUCAUCCACAAGAUCUGUGCUCAGCUGAUGCAUAUUAAACACAUCUCCUUCAGGGAUGUAAAUCAAGUCAUUGCACAUCAACUGGGGAGUGUUUUCCAGCCUGCUCACACAGCAGAAUCUGGCUUACACUACAGCAGAAACCCCUUAGGAGACUUAAUGGAGACGUUAGUUCCACACCCUGAAUUCAAGAUGUUGGGUCUCCGUAACAUACCUCAGAUGCCUGAAAACUCCCUCGCAUAUAGCACAUUCAGUUGGCCUGGGCUCCUCAAACAUCUGAGGCAAAUGCUCAUUGCUAACGCUAAAAUGGAGGAAGGUAUCGAUUGGCAAGUACGGCCACCAUGUCCAGGCUCCUCCAUCUCCUCCAGUCAUUCCAUAAACAAGCUGCUGCAUUUCAAUACUUCCAUUGCCAACCUGGUCAUCCUGCGAGGAAAAGAUACGCACAGUGUAGACUUAGGAAGUUUCCGAGAUCCCUCAUUAUAUACAUCAUGGCUAAAUCCUCAGGAUGCUUUUAAUGCAUGGAAAACCCCAAGAGCAUUUAAUAAGUAUGAAAAGUCUGCUUCUCUGGUUAGCAAUAGCCAGUUCCUGCUGAAACCUCUUGACAAUGUUGUAGGAAAAGCUUGGAAUAUGUUUGCUUCCAAAGCCUAUGUUCACCAGUACACCAAGUUUGGAAUUGAAGAGGAGAAUUUUUUGGACAGUUUCACAGCUCUGGAACAAGUUAUCUCCAGUUACACCAACCUCUGAUUUUGGAAAUGGUUUCUUCCUGAAAGAGCCCAGCACUGGAAGACCUUCCAUCAGCUAUCAAGUCAGGAACAGAAGCACUAAAAUCCAUCCAGGAACAGCUGUUCAAAGUAGCUCAAGCAUGAGAUCUGGAAAGGCAAAUACAUCUGACACGAUCCAAGUAACUGUACAACUGACUGUGGAGAAAGUACUGGGGUAAGUUCACAAUUGUUCAAAUACAGAAGCAGCAACAGCUGAACACUGUCAUGGCUGUAGUUUCAAUGCAAGCCACAACAGAUUCUGAUACCUGUCAUGGGAUAAGCAAUGUUAAUCCCUAAUGCUUUCAGAAAAAAAAGUUUCAGGAGGGAAGACAAAAAAAGCAGGUGGGGUAAAUGCACUCAAGUGACUUUUCAUAUUAAAAGAUGCUUGAUGUGUAUGACAACACAUUUUGACACUAUUCUUACAGACCACAGUACACAAUACAACUUACCUCACUUUACCUUCUCCUCUCACUCAACUGCUUUAAUUCCUGUUUUGGGUAUUCCUUCUCAAAAGAAGGACACAAUAAUCAUGGUUCAACUAUCCAGAUAUACUACAUUUAAAACCACAUAUAGUUUAUUAUUUAAUAUUUUUUUCACUAAAUUACUCUCUGUCAGCUCAGAGACUGGGGACUGUUACGAUCAAAAGGGAUUUUCUGGUGUUAUGUUUUUGUUAAUUGAACCAUUAAGCUGGGCAGGUAUUCUCACACAAGAAAAUGGAGGAAAGAUUGCACAAAACAUCAAGAGAACCAGCUCGGGCAGUUCAAGUUUGCAAAGAGCAAAGGGUCAGGAAAGCAAGAACAGUGAGGUUCUCCUUCUUCCCUCCUUCAAAAGACACAGGAUACUUAGCAAAGGUAGAAAUCAUUUUCCCUAGUGUUAGCUACAGAUACUGCUGUCAGACUAAAGAUUUCUUCCAGUGUCAGAAAUGAAAACAGGUAACUCCAGUGACUGGGUCCCAGGGAUGGACAUUCUUCCUCAUUUUGACACUGCGUUACAAGAUAGCUUUUAAAAAGCUCAGUCAGUAAAACCUUUUAGCAACAAGGAAGAGAGCUGUAUGUUACUGUACUGCUAUAUAAGUAACUUGCAGAAAUAACACCGCAUUAUGUCUGUGUAUUUACAAUUCCAAGCAUGAAGCAAAUGCAGCAGCACUUACCGCAGCCACAAAUGCCACAGAGCCAUUCACCCAUCCCUUACAGCUGCAUCUAUUCUUUAAUGGAAUAUGUCACUUUCAGUUAACAACAUAACAUAUUUGAGUUUUGGUUUGUUUAAUGGCAGAGUUAUACCACUAAGUCCAUUGCUGCUUAACAAGAUGCCAGUCAAAUUUUGAAUGCUGACAAUGCAGAUUUCUUGAAGCUACAAAAACUGAAGGUAAAAACAGAACCGUAACCAUUGUAUUAGCUCCUACAAUCACUUUGAUUUCACUGGAGGAAUUAUUUUCAGCUCCUCCAGGUCUUUUCCUGUCAGUGUUUUUUGCUGCUGACCUCAGUUUUGAGACUUACACCCUCUCCCAAACUAAGCCUUCAUUUUUUCAUCUGUGGCUGAAUUCCUCUAUUUUUUUCCCCAGGAUGUGGAGAGCAGAGGGUCAAGUGGCAGGAAGUGAAUAACCAUUCUCAAAUGUACAUCAUCUCAAAUUGUAUUAGAAGGUGGUGAAUUCUUUAUUAUUGUUUGCGGAGAAAAUUAGUUGUGUAAAUGAGAGCCUGAGCCUGGCAGAGGGCUGCUGCUUCAUUAGCAGCUGAAAUGAGCAAGAUAGAUUAAAGGCAAUGGUGAACUGAGGGAUGGCAGCACCAGUGGCCCUGACCCCUCUGCCUUUAGGCAAACUAUCCACAGGAAGUCCAUGAACCAAGGAACAAUGCAUCAAAUCUCACUAUUGUUUGUUGUCAUGGGCAGGUGCAGGUCCCCUGGAAGUUGACUCAAGGACUAACUAUAGCAGAAAUACUGAGUGAACAGGAUAACUUUAUUUGGUCACCUGGAAAAACAGGACCUAAGUUGCAAGUACUUUAAAGACAGUGACUGGCCCAUGACAAGGCACUGAUGCAAUUUAUUCCAACUUGCUUGUAAAGUAAGACUCCAUAGCAGCAAAGAAAGGAUAUGAACAAUGAAAGCGAACUCUUAGGGACUUACCAGCAUGGAGUUAGCAACACGAACAAUUCUAGAUUAAGGGCAAAAACUUGUAGUUUCCACAAAGACCAGAAUUCUGCCAACAUGAAAAAAGGAAGUUGUGUGCAAACUAGCAGCUGGUACAUGACUGGGAAAUGUUAGGGUGAAAAAGGUAUUGAAUGAAUCAUUCGUUUCCUAUGGCAUUUGUUAAUAAAUUCAGUAUAAGUGCUAUGAAAUGACAACCCAAACAUCCUAAAGGAAGUACUCUCGGAUGUCAAAGAGUACUUUUAAGGAAGCCUGAGAUUUGCCGGACACUGCUUUAAAACUGAACAACAGCCACCAGCAAUGUGAUUCACAGAUCUACUGUAUUACAAAAAAGCUUCAAAAAAAGUAGAGGUGCUGCCAUUCCUCUACUGCUUUCAAGGGCACCCCAGCCACACCUUUACCAGUGCACCAAAUUCCAGUGUAGGCUUCUUCCUCAAGCCAGCAGCACAGCCUGGACACUCCAACAGACUUUAACCCGCCUGGGUGCAGAGCUAAUAAUCCUAAAUUUUAAUUGUGGAGCCUUUCCGGUUCUUUCAGUCAAACUGGAUGUUCACAAUGGCCCCUUCUGAGCACACAUUGUAUGAAUCCUCUCCUUCCAGACAGCCACUUCCCCUCUGUCCGGGUGGGUAAUGAGUCACCCACCUCCAUGAAUCAGCAGAACAUACUUAACCCCUUCCCAGAAGCACCAACAGCUGCACAUCCAGUGGUGUUUCAAACAAACGUUAUUGCCAAUGAUACAGAGCAAGCUGGAAGAGGCUGGAGAUGGUUAGGGGUAAGAGGUUAGCAACGGAAAAAGGUUCUAUCAGAUAGAAAAAUAAGAAAAAUGAGGACUUUCUCUUGACCAAGACUCCUCUCAACAUUUCUUGUCUCACUUCAGGAAGCUGUGAGCUUCCUUCACUAAUGAUAUAUGAUGAGAAGCAAAUGUCACUGUAAAAAGUAUAUGUGCACUUAAAUGAGCACGUUCCCCAGAAGCAAUUAUUGUACCUAUUUGAUUACACGUACGGUGUAAUGUUUAUUCAAAGGUUCACAUGAGUGCACUUCAGUUGCCUGAGAAUGGUGUAACUGUGGUCAGAUGACAUGAUUUAAUUUGAGCCUUUGCCCAGCAGGCUCCUACAUGUAACAGAUCAGUGACCGGAGCAUGUGAGCAGUGCACCACCCAAGGAGCCAAAUGGAAAGCAGCCUCAUUCCACACACUGAAGGUGUAAUGAAACACUGACUCCAUAAUUCUUGGUUGGCAGGGGCAGCGGUAGAGUCAUUGUGGCAGCCCCAGUAAAGAACAGCCAGAGCCAGGCAGCAGUUCAGAGCUGCCACUCUCCAGACGGCUCUGAACAAUACUGGGUUCACUACAAACUCCCAUGUAAGAGUGCUGUGGGAUCGCUGUGUUUCUACCACUUCCAAAGAGAACGUUGGGACACUUCUUUCCUUCUCACCCCACAUGGAGCAGCUCCAACACGACCGAGUCACCAGGUCCACAGAUGUAUACAUGCAGAUAUUUGAUGCUGUAAAUCACAUCCCUCCCUGUGAGACCUUAACUCACUUUAUCACACCAUCUUCCUCUGUAAGACUGCCUCCAAAGUCAGUAUUUUCACUGUAAAGUCUUAUUAUAAAUAUAAAUAUAUAUAAAUAGAUGUGAAUCAAAUGCAUCCUAUGACAAAGCUUAUUUUUCAUCAACAAAGGAAACCUGAAAUUACACCUCCAUGUGGGAUCUCUCUAACUGAAGAAAUCUCCACUCAAGAGCCAAACCUUGACUUGUACAGAGUGCUGAGCAUGAUGGGCAAAGACUGAGCAAAGAGCCAUCGUCCUCACCAGGAGUGAGCAUCAGUCUGCCAUCAACACCAGCACCUUCAUUACUCAAUCAGAACGGCCAUCUCUCUGUCACAGACUAACCCUACUGCCAAAGGACAGCACAGGAGAUUUCCAGCUUAAAGAGAAAGGGAUUUCACAGUCUCCCUCAUCUCAGAUAUCUUUCAGACAGGUGUGAUUCUCCAUUAUAGCAAGGACAGUGAAAUGAGGCACACUACACCAAUGCCAUGGGGAAACAAAAAGCAGAUUAUGCCUUAAACCAACGGUGUUAAGGACAGAGAAUCUCUCAAGCAGGAGGAGAAUGCAAGUCAUCAAUCUGUACUUCUAACACGGACUGAACAGCAGUUCCUGGGGCCAUCAGGAGGCAGGUGUGGAGUGGAGCAGUUAUCAGAGCAGGAACAACACACAGAGCUGACAAGCCCUAUCUACUUAAAGAUUACUUUACGUAAUCUACUGUUUUUGCCUUUCACCAGGAAAUAGCAGUUCAUUUCCUUAUUGCCAAUUGGCUGGGAAUCACAUUUCAGCUUCUUGGGAAACUGGAGCAAUUAAGGGGGGAGCAACCCCCCUGAAACAUGGGAGGUGCCACACACUUACAUAUCCGUAUCUGAACAGCUUAAAUGGGGUUUGGAGAGAAGCGACCUUUGAUUUAAUGCUCAUGUAGUCAAUGCUGUGAAUCAUUCCUUAAGUGAUCAGUAAUAAAAACCCCUCCAGCAGAUUAAAGAGUGAUGUGAAAGGCAAACUAAAACAAAGCACAGCCUGUUUAACAGGUUCACGUGUAUUUUUCAAACAACUGAACCUCACCAGCAGUGAAUAUACAGAACUUCAGAGCCCGACAGCCUACUGCCCAACACAGAGCUGCCUGCGGCAUGUUUGACCAAAAUACCAUCGUGCUGAAUUCCUAGUGCGUUCCCAAAGCCCAUCACAGACUGCUGGGCCUUUCCUACCUGCUUUUAGUUGGAAGGGCAGAUGGUUUUCUGGACGUUGAUGACCAUCUCCACAUCUGAGCUCCUCUCACUGGCUUGGGUUCUGACACUUCUCCUGCUCACACUGUGACCAAACAGCUGCCUCUUAUGAAUGCUCAGAGCAUGUAGCCACCAAGUCAAACAGAAGAAGAAAUGUGAGACUGCAGCUCUGCCCUCAAUGACACACGUGAACUCCGAAAGUCACAGCAGGACAGGGAGGAUUCUGCACAAUCCCUUUAAAAAUGAGUUUGCAUUGACUCAUUUGCAUGAGUCUAUACUCUCUGUCUGAUUCAGGGGCCAUUGGGGGUGUUCCACACAGAAAGCGAUCACUUCACUCCGUUUCCCAGAGAGGUUUCAGCAACAAACCCUACCCUGGACCAGACCCCCAUCCUCCCCUCACACUGCCCUCAGUGCUGCAGUCCCAUAAUCACAUUGGUAGAAGAAGGACUCACUGUCGGGAAGUUUUCUCCUUCUGCUGCUCCAGGACCCUCAGAACCACCCUCAGAACUCACAAUCCCAGAUGAGCCAUUUCCAUUACCUCGUGCAUGACUACAUUCAACCUUCGACUGCUGAUGAUGAAGUAUUUUUUAACCAUGUGCUUCAAAGACAACUGCCAUUAUUUUUUACCUUCGGGACCAACCCCUGACACCACUUAUUUUUACACCCACAAUACACUUUGUUUGCUACCAUUCAUGUUUGUGCUUGAUAACCAUGUAACGAUCCAUAGUGUUCUUGUUUGCAAUUAGUGCUGCUUGGAUCGAUGAGGAAGCUGAUUCUAAUUAAUUAAAUAACAAAACCCCAAAACACAGCAGAGGCGAACAUUGAGGAACAGCACUGAGCCCCUCAAGUAUCAGUGACAGGUGUCAGCACAAGCAGCAGCAAGGCGAGCUCAGCUUGCUGCGUUACUGGGAACCACUGGGACACUGGGAUGGAGGUAGGGAACUGCAGAUGGAGCAGUUCCAAGUUCACUGUGAUGGAGCAGUGUGGGACUGGUGAUUCCAUUUAGCAUGGAGCAGUGUGACCUCUUCAACUUAUCCAUUAUAUAGAGCAUAGUGAAGCUACUGAGGUUGUUGCUCUUAGCAAACAGAGCUCACUUUGGGCCUAACCCAUAUCAAACUCUGUGAUCAACUGCUUCCAGCACACAGCUAAAGGUAUUCCUGACAGACCUGUGGGUUAAGGCAGCAAAACGUGUCCAGAUGAGAUGUGAAAGGCUCUGGGGCCUUUUUGUAGCCAAAAAAUGCACUGCAAACACACCUUCUACCUUCACACUCACCAUAGAACACUUGAGAUAACAAAUUUCACAGCGUAACCAAAUUCAAUACACAAAAAAAAAGAAACAAUCAAGCUUGAAUGAAGACAAGCAAUCUGUUACUUGUUUAUGUAAGCAAACACAGCACUCUCCAUGUGCACAACCUUACCUUGUACUACCUCUUACCAAACCUUGUUAUCUCCCUUUGCUGAAAAGGUAGAAGGAAGGAGAACAAGCAGUUCCCCUGUUAAAUACUUUCAGAAAGAUUCCAAACAAUGGCACAGCUCAUCGAAGUGGUCAAGUACAAUGUGGCAGGAAGAACUGUAUAUUUCUCACUUUACUUUUCAAUGUGCAAACAGGUUGAAAUAGAAGGGGGGAAGCUGUCAGUGACUUUUCACUAAUCAAUGGGCAAAGAGGCAUCACUACAAGGAGACUGCUGGGGUAUUCAGAAAGUCAUCGUUUAUUGGCUCAAGGGGCUUCUUCCCUCCCUUUUUAAUUAUUAGUACAAUCUCAAGGUGCCCUCAGGAUGGCAUAAACUUCAGUGACUCCUACAAAAGGCCUUAAGACACUACUGGAACUGCAAAGUAAACAGCAGCAUCCUGCAAACAAAUGGCAAAUUGGAAGAAAAAAACCAAUGGCACAGAAGCGAGGAAGGUUGCAAACAGCUGUUCCACUAACCCAGACACUCUGAAGGAAAAUGAAACAGCCAUGAGCUGCUGACAUGAGCUAUAACGAUGUGCAAAAUCAAACUUUUAGUAGACUGAAAAAAGUAAAUACCAACAAGAGCUUUUAUUAUUAUUAUUAUUUUGUGAAUGUUUAUUGCAAUAGAACAAGUUCUUUGCUACGUAAUUGGCCAAGAGCUUAUUUGGGCCCAAAAGAGAAAAGCUGCUAGGGCCAAGAAUUCAGAAAAACUGUUCACCUCUUAAAACUCAGCAGAGGCAAAUGAACUGCCUUAUUGCUUUUAAAGGCCUCAUGCUGCCUCCCCUCCUGUUGCUUUUGACUACCUCCCAGCACUCAGGGCUUCAAAUAUUUAAAUAUAACAUGGCUAUAUUAAAAAAAUCCCAUAUUUAUAGCUUCCCCAUUCACUGAAUAAUGCUUGAAGUUAAACACGAAGCAUACAAGAUAAACAUUACAAACCUGACACACAACCAAGAUGGAGCUUUAAGAGAUGCUUCGGAUGCAGCUUGUCACACUGCAUGGCUGGUGUGUAUUCAUUUCCAUCAAAACUGAAAAACAUUGAUACGCCACUGAUGUUCAAUGAAAACAGCUGGAGAUGGAUGAGCGAACGGUCAGAUGAGAGAUACCAAAAUGUCAGACAGCCUACCGACUGUUGUUGCCAUGAGAUCCAACAGUCAACAUCAGUCUGAUAAGCUAUCCGACAGGAUGGUACAGCCAUGGGGAUGUCACGACGGCUGGCAACACAGGAGGACAUUCAGGCAGGACUGAACAAAAUCCUUAUUCUCACACCUUGCUCAUGAUCUGCUCUAAUCUAAUGCAGGGAUAAAUACAACCCAAGCAUGAGCAAAAUCAAACCUCCCUUGUGCUUGUGUGCUACCUGUUGAUAACACUAAUUGAAAGUCAAAUUAAUUCCUAAUCCCCCCCAGGCUAAAAAUUAGAACCAAUAGUUCUAAAAUUACACAAGUAGUAAUACAUACACAGCAGCAGGAGUGUGGCUGCCUACUUCCUAAAGAGGGAAGAGAUCUGUUUUAAUACAGAUUACCUUCACAUACAUUAAAAUCGCAACACUGAUUCAAAGCAAUGUUUUAUAAAUGCCUGAAUUUUCAAGCCUAAAUGUGAGGUUUUCUAUGGCUCCACAUACGAUUGCUGGGUUUGACACCAGUUCUCUGUUCAGCUGGAAUUUCUACACUUCCCCCUUCUCUUCUCCUUCACAGCUCAUAGUAUUGUGACCAGUAGCAAACACUGACCAAGAUUUUAUGCUAACAAUCACAGCAAAACUCGCCUAUUUUAAGCAGUGAGCAGUAAUGUGCCUUCUACUAUGUUCUGCUAAGUAAGAAGUUCUUAAGAAAAAGGGAAAAAAGAAUAAAGGGUGGUUUCAGCACUGUCUGUGCAGGAAGGAUGAGUAAAGCAUGCAACCCAAGGGGUUAAAGCUUAAUAACGACACUCAGCAUACAAAAGGGGAAAGGAAAAGAAACAGCUUAAAAAGACUGACACAAGAAAUUCUGGAAUGAUCAAAGAUGACUUUAUAAAGUUUUAUCUUAACUUCAUUCUAAAUAUACAGAAUAAAAAAACGUCAGCUUCAGCAUUUUGACAUCAAUCAUCUCUGCUAACAUCGUGACGAUUAAAGGGCGGCUUUUCCAACCAAGAGCACGUGCAAUGCAAUGGGACACCGGAGAAUUCAAAUGGAAUAACCUUACCACGAGGGACAUGCAACAGUUUUUACCCAAUUUGUAAUUCAUUUAUAUACAUCUUGAUAGUCUUGAAAGUUAAGGUUAAAAAAAAAAAA